rnacentral:rRNA from 1 species
CCUAGGUGAGUAAAGUGGCGUACGGGUGAGUAACACGUGGAUAAUCUACCCCUCGGAGUGGGGAAUAACGCUGGAAACCGGCGCUAAUACCGCAUAAUCCCGAGAGGGCAAAGGAGCAAUUCGCUUCAGGAGGAGUCCGCGGCCGAUUAGCUAGUUGGCAGGGUAAAAGCCUACCAAGGCAACGAUCGGUAGCCGGCCUGAGAGGGCACACGGCCACACUGGCACUGAAACACGGGCCAG